rnacentral:rRNA from 1 species
AGGUCCAAGCAGGCUAGACGGGUCGAGUAACACGUGGGUAACCUGCCUGUAAGACUGGGAUAACUCCGGGAAACCGGGGGUAAUACCGGAUGCUUGAUUGAACCGCAUGGUUCAAUUAUAAAAGGUGGCUUUUAGCUACCACUUACAGAUGGACCCGCGGCGCAUUAGCUAGUUGGUGAGGUAACGGCUCACCAAGGCAACGAUGCGUACCCAACCUGAGAGGGUGAUCGGCCACACUGGGACUGAAACACGGCCCAAACUCCUACGGGAGGCAGCAGUAGGGAAUCUUCCGCAAUGGACAAAAGUCUGACGGACCACCGCCGCGGGAGUGAUGAAGGUUUUCGGAUCGUAAAACUCUGUUGUUAGGGAAAAACAAGUACCGUUCGAAUAGGGCGGUACCUUGACGGUACCUAACCAAAAAGCCACGGCUAACUACGUGCCAGCAGCCGCGGUAAUACGUAGGUGGCAAGCGUUGUCCGGAAUUAUUGGGCGUAAAGCGCGCGCAGGCGGUUUCUUAAGUCUGAUGUGAAAGCCCCCGGCUCACCCGGGGAGGGUCAUUGGAAACUGGGGAACUUGAGUGCAAAAAAGGAGAGUGGAAUUCCACGUGUAGCGGUGAAAUGCGUAAAGAUGUGGAGGACCUCCAGUGGCGAAGGCGACUCUCUGGUCUGUAACUGACGCUGAGGCGCGAAAGCGUGGGGAGCGAACAGGAUUAGAUACCCGGGUAGUCCACGCCGUAAACGAUGAGUGCUAAGUGUUAGAGGGUUUCCGCCCUUUUAGUGCUGCAGCAAACGCAUUAAGCACUCCGCCUGGGGAGUACGGUCGCAAGACUGAAACUCAAAGGAAUUGACGGGGGGCCCGCACAAGCGGUGGAGCAUGUGGUUUUAAUUUCGAAGCAACGGCGAAGAACCUUACCAGGGUCGUGACAUCCUCUGACAACCCUAGAGAUAGGGCUUUCCCCUCCGGGAGGCAGAGUGACAGGGUGGUGCAUGGUUGUCGUCAGCUCGUGUCCGUGAGAUGGUGGGUAGUCCGCACGAAGCCGCAACCCUGAAUCUAGUGGCAGCAUCAGUUGGCACUCUAGCUGACUGCAGUGACGACGGAAGAGUGGAUGACGUUCAU